rnacentral:rRNA from 1 species
AACGCGAAGAACCUUACCAGGGUUUGACAUCCUGGGAAUCUUUCCGAAAGGAAAGAGUGCCUUCGGGAAUCCAGUGACAGGUGUUGCAUGGCCGUCGUCAGCUCGUGUCGUGAGAUGUUUGGUUAAGUCCAUCAACGAGCGCAACCCUUAUAGUUAGUUGAAUUUCUCUAGCUAGACUGCCCCGGUAACGGGGAGGAAGGAGGGGAUGAUGUCAGGUCAGUAUUACCCUUACACCCUGGGCUACAAACACGCUACAAUGGCCGGUACAAAGGGCAGCUAAGUCGCGAGACGGAGCAAAUCCUAUCAAAGCCGGUCUCAGUUCGGAUAGCAGGCUGAAACUCGCCUGCUUGAAGCUGGAAUCGCUAGUAACGGUAGGUCAGCACACUACCGUGAAUACGUUCCCGGGCCUUGUA